CAGUGGGUAGCUGAACAAAAGUGCAGGUAUAUUAAAAGAAAACAUUUUUUUAAGUUUGACAUCAAUUGUGUAUAUGGAGUUGGAUUGGUAUCAGUUAUUCUUCUAUACUAACAUAAUAUGGCUAAAAAUAGCAGUAUAGACACAGCAGCAUGGCUGUAAGAGCGCAGUGGGGGCCCUGAGUAUGUUGCGUUGCUAGCCUGUGCUAAACCCCCUGCUGCCACAUCUAUGCUGCUGCUGUUUGCAUGGGUAUAUCCUUGGAUACAAUUUUGGAAACAAUGAAUCAGAGUUCUGAGGGGAACGGGCUGAGAGCUCUGGGUACUCAGAGAAAGGGAAGCGACACUAUGUACCUACAACUCCCCAUAGCAGCCUUUUGUUCAUCAAGGUUUAAAGUCAUUUUAAUGGUCAUGUUCAUAGUUUUGAGAUGUCUCAGGAAACUGGGAUUUUACAACUAUGUUAAAGAAUUAAAUGUUGAUCUAAUUCAUGCAGAAAUAGAUAUCCUCUGGUGACCUGGGUACUGUAUAAUGCAUUUGUACAUAUUUUUCCUUUUGUGAUGUUGAUGGGUACUUCUCAGAAUUUUGACAUCCACAAGCUUUCUGCCAUAAGAAAACCUUGUUUACAUGUCUCACACGGUAGUGUGGAAGAAGUUAAACACUUCUUUUGUACUGAGAGAUAUUUAUGCCAUUGCAACACUUGUGUUGUAUUAUUCAACAGUGGUGAAGCUAUACCUCCUUUUAAUAUUUAUCUGGUCAUUUUCUUGCAAGUUCUGUACAAGCUUGAUAAGAACAAGAAACAGCUUGUUGUAGCUGUAGAAAGUUUCCUUAUUUGGGUGUGUAAUGUAAAAACUCUUACUAAACCUACUGAGGGGGAGUGUUUGUUUUUAGAUUUGUUCAGUCAAAAUUUUAAAUGUCACAGCUCAAAUUAAUGUUGAUAAUUGCUUUAGCAGUAAAUUUUAGAAUACCAGAAAGGAAAUCAAGACUAGCCUAGAGUAGGAUAGUCACAAACAACAAUUAACUUUUUCAAAAACACUUCUAUCUGCUGCUGUUUUACACUUUGAAAGGAAUAAAAUACUUUGUACAUACAGAUGAUACACUGGAAAAACUAACAAAGAAUGCUAGCACACUGUCAAUUUCUAAUAUCCAGUUUUAUAGAGCAUGUACAAAACAGAGGACUAAUGUCAUGCUCUUCCAAAUUUUGCUCUAGACCUAUUGCUGUAUACGCGGGCACUUAGGUCAUCUUAACUACACUGCUCAGGCAUAUGGAUUUCUUCACACCCAUGCCAAAUGUAGUGAAAUUGAUUAAUCUUUUUAGUGUAGACCAGUCUCUAAUGUAGGAUCACAACUUCCCCAAAUGACCAUUAGCUAUGUUGACAGAAGCACUAUAAUGGCUAAGUUAUAUCUACAGUGAGGUUGCUUUUGUUUAUUUUUCCUGGCAUAGUUAUGAUGGCUACAGGAUUGUGUAGUUCCCACCUCCUCCUGGAUUGCCAUUGCUAUGUGACCUAGCUUUGAAGUGUAGAUCUAGCCUUAGAGAUAAUCAAAAUUCAUGACCUCUUGCUGAAAUUGCAUUUUUUUAAAGUUAGUACUUAAAAUUAAGAUAAAACUACCCUGGACACAAAACUGAGUAACUUUGUCUGAACUAAGUUAAGUCACACAGGGGGAAAAAAAUACACAAAUGAGGGAAACUUUGAAGUUGUAUAUUUUCUAGCUGCACAGAACAAUAUAUUUGUACAAAAGAUGUCUUGGGUACUCUGACUGUUGCAUGAGUAGCUGAAAUACAAAGACACUUUUAAAAAUCAUUUUUAUAAAACCCCCAAAAAACAGAGUCAGAGGAAGAUAAGCCAGAAUAGGCAAACAGGAGCAAAGUCUUCAUUACAAGAGUUAAAUAUAAAUUAUUUUCUUUGGACAAUUAAAAUACAUCCCUGCUAUACAUAUAAAGACACCUUUGUUAAAUAGAAUGCCUCGGUCAGGUGGUACAUUUAAUAAAAAUACAUUUGAUUUGAAAAAUAUAAACAUUAAAUUAUUUUUUUACGAAAAUCUGUAAGAACAGCAGUGCUUCCCAAAGUUGUCAUGUCGAAAGUAUCACUUCACAUUUUGCUAGGUUCUGAACAGUUCAAUUACACAUUUCAAGCCUUAUGUGUCCGUAUUUCUGAUUGGACUAAUGUUUCAGAAGUGUGUCUGAUAUAUCAAAUAGGAAAAUGUAGCUUUUAGUUCUAGGUUUGGUCUAGCUUUCAACAUACUGUUUUUUCAUAUACAGUAACACAGCUGAAGCAGAGAAACAAAAGUCAGUUCAUCACAGUGAUAUUCCACCAAAAGCACAGAAGUGCAAGACUUUUAAGAUUGCACACUAAAUACACACAAUAUUUCAAAAAGAAAAAAAGUCUUCCUUUUCUAUUGAGAUACUAGAAACACUAAAAGUUGGUAAACCUAAACUUGACCUACUUUAAAAAAGAGUCUGAAAGUCUAUUUGGUUUAAUUUCCGUCAUUCCCCACCACCAACUUUUAAUUUUUUUAAUAGCAAAACCCACCAGCAGUUUUUGCAGUAGCAUUCUAUGAACAACCCUGCUCAAUCCUCCAGAUAUGUGUUGAAGGAGAAAACUUCUUUCAAUUUCAAA